rnacentral:rRNA from 1 species
UAGGGCGCAAGCGUUAUCCGGAAUUAUUGGGCGUAAAGAGCUCGUAGGCGGUUUGUCGCGUCUGCCGUGAAAGUCCGGGGCUUAACUCCGGAUCUGCGGUGGGUACGGGCAGACUAGAGUGCAGUAGGGGAGACUGAAAUUCCUGGUGUAGCGGUGAAAUGCGCAGAUAUCAGGAGGAACACCGAUGGCGAAGGCAGGUCUCUGGGCUGUAACUGACGCUGAGGAGCGAAAGCAUGGGGAGCGAACAGGAUUAGAUACCCUGGUAGUCCAUGCCGUAAACGUUGGGCACUAGGUGUGGGGGACAUUA